ensembl:snRNA U6 U6 spliceosomal RNA
GUGCUCACUUCGGCAGCACAUAUACUAAAAAUGGAACAAUACAGAGAAGAUUAGCAUGGCCCCUGCACAAGGAUGACACACAAUUUCAUGAAGUGUUCCAUAUUUAA